rnacentral:tRNA from 1 species
AAGAAGUUAGUUUAAAAAAAAUAUUAAUUUGUCAAAUUAAAGUUACUUCUAAGUACCUCUUA